GAAGAGCUCUCAUCUGAUUAGUCCCGAGCCUUAUGUCGAUUCUAUCCUGGCAGAAUACAAAGAGCAUUAAGGGUAAUAUUGACGUUUCAUAUUGACUAGAUUUCAGAUACGCUGUACAUCCAACGGUCCAAAACUCAUCCCAAUAGCCAAAGGCCCAUUCGACCGUUGGAUCUGAUUGACAGAGAGAGAGAGGGAGUUGGGAUCGACGGCGAAGUGACGAGAAAAAGGCUUUGGCUUUCUCGGCCCUCACUUCUAUCAAGCUCUUGAUCGAUGGCGAAUUUACUUUUGGGGGGAGUUUCAGUUGGGAGAGCUAUUGCUGGGGAAUUUGGGGAAGGAAUGAUGCAUCCCGUUGACCCCGUAAAGGCACGUAUUCAGAGCCGAGCUAUUCUUUGUGAAAGUCAAGUAUGAUCACAGAGUAAAGAUGUGAUAGAUGUAACAUUCACGGCUAAUGGAUGGUGGUCCACACACUCACAAGGGAUGUAACUUACUAGCUUCUUCUGUUCUCAUGGUUAUUAUGAAGGCUUAAACAUUUGACACCAUGGGAAGAAAAAUCUACAUGCAAUCCAAGUGCAUAUCUCACCACUGCCUCCUUGGGAUGUGACUAGAACAAAAUUUCAAAGUACAGGAUCAGCCUUGAGGUAUCAGUUCUGUUUUAUGGUUAUACAAUAUUUACUAUUCAAUAAUUAAUUUCCUUUGAUUUUUCUUCUGGUUUUUUAAUUUAAUUAUUGUAUAGUAAAUAUCAGCAUAUUCAUGAAGAAAUACCAUGGCACCAUAAUUUUUUGUUUAGUAAGUUUCAUAUUAUAAAACAAAAUUAAUAAUA